rnacentral:lncRNA from 1 species
AUGAACUUCUCGAAUUCUCUUCCUCUUCCUUAAAUUUAUUCUACUUGCAAGUACAAUUUUAAUCAAUUUUGCCCAUUAUUUUUGCUAAACAUCUGAUAUGAAAAACAAUCCCUUCCUCUUCAACUUCAAUUUUGUGAUUUCGUCUUUAUAUUUGUUUCUCCUUAUUUUGCCUUUUUAAUCAGUUUCACCCAUCAUGCAAUUUUUUUUGUUGAGAUUCUCAGUUCAUUGAUAAUACUGGUUCGGGGUUUAAGUCUAAAUUGAAAGAAAUUUUUUUGGGUGCAGUGUUACAGUGCUUACUCAAGUUUCAACAGCUCUGUUCAUACUUCUUUUGUGCCCUCUCCAACUUCGAGUUUUGUAAUUCUGUAUUUGUUUCUCAUUUUUUUUCUCGUUCAAUUAGUUUUAACCCACAUGUAAAUUUCAGUCCGUUGAUGAUAUUGUUAUAGGUAUUAAGCUUAACUGUUGGCCCAAGUUUCAGAUUGAGUUUUAAAGAUUGACAAAUGAACCUCUGAAAGGACCUGGUUCAUCUUGUACUACACGGUGUGAAUUAACCAAGACACAUGUGAAGCACUUGAGGAAGAUAUGCACUAAAGAUUGCGAAUCAAUAUCUUCUUAACGUAAUCGAAAAUGUUGUAUUUGGGAUAAGGAGGACAGUCACGUUAUGUGAAGAGAACUUGAUUCUAAGUUAGGAUAAGAGUUAGAGUUUGUAUUGGCUAAAGAUUUAAAUGGAUUACGGAAAGAAGUGGAGUUGUAAUCAAACUCUAACUAUUAACUCAAUAUAUUAUUGUGUUGGCUCUCCUUUACAGGUAAUAC